GUUUACAGAAAUACACUGAAAAAGGCUUCACCUCAGGAGAGAGAAUGAGGCCAGGAGUGUGGUCUUACUUUUGGCUUGUACUUUUCCUUCUCCAGGGGAUCUUCGCGACCCAGGCAGGUGGGUUCUUUACCACUAGCGCCAUCUGGAAGCCCAUUGAGACCAUGCAGCUUAAUAUUAAGGAAUGAGACUGAGGUUUUGAUUCAUCGUCUGGAUCUGUGUCUCCAAUCUGAAUAAACUUUCCAUUAAGAUUCCCUGCCCUCUGAAGCCCACUUAGUGGGAUUCUGCAGAGGUUGGAGAAACAACAAAUUUCUGCCCUGAGGCAGAAAAAAAGAAAAAGUCCUGAGGCAGGAAGGCCCCGGAGACUAGUGUUUGAGAUGGCACUUCUUGAGCCAGUUCCUUAAGUCAGGGCAGCCCCAACAGGGUCGCAGAGUAUCUAUCCUUUCCCCAGGAAGGUAUCUCAGGUCUUCUGCCUAAUCUCACACCCUAUUUUGAGAAGGUGGAUUGGGUGGAUCAGAAGUUGCCUGCCCCUUUUCAGAGUGAAUCGUUUUACGCUCGUCAAACUAGGAGAAUUCUGUCUGCUGAGAAGAAACUGUUCAACAGUGAGUUCUACAGGCAGGUUGGAUUUAGGAAGGGGUGUUCCCUGUCCCACCAGCUCUGGGGAACCAUAUCAGUCCCGGGGCUGCUCUGGGGCUGAAAAGCAAGGUUGGGAUCUGGUACACAGCGCCCUCGGUAGGGCAGGAGCGACCUUCCUUGAAGUCAAAGACCCGGGAACUCUUGCACGUGUGCUGGUUUCCAGCUUCCUCAUCAGUGCUGCAUUCUGCCGGGACCUUCACUCGGCCCAACGCUCCGUCCACAGGUGUCCCCCUGCCCAGGCUUGGAAGCCCAAAACCGCUCCUGGGAACUGCAAACCCACAUCCUAACCUGGGAUAAGCACUCCGCGGCGUGUUGACAGGCACCGGGGGGAGGGGUGGAGCUUCCGGCUGCGCACUUCCGCUUCCUGUUUCAGCGUAGGUUCUUAGUGUCUACUCUGGCCUAGGCUUAGCA
rnacentral:lncRNA from 1 species